rnacentral:rRNA from 1 species
GUCCACGCCGUAAACGUUGGGCGCUAGGUGUGGGGCUCAUUCCACGAGUUCCGUGCCGCAGCUAACGCAUUAAGCGCCCCGCCUGGGGAGUACGGCCGCAAGGCUAAAACUCAAAGGAAUUGACGGGGGCCCCGCACAAGCGGCGGAGCAUGUUGCUUAAUUCGAUGCAACGCGAAGAACCUUACCUAGGCUUGACAUGCACGGAAAUCCUCCAGAGAUGGUGGGUCCGUAAGGGCCGUGCACAGGUGGUGCAUGGUUGUCGU